ensembl:lncRNA
UCCCAGUUCUUACCAGAAUGCAAAUGUGCUUCUCCCUCUGCCCAGGAAGAACCAGGAGGGGUGGCCAUAAAGUCCCCAAUUUAAAUGAAUCCACAUGGCGGGGGUCGGGGGCAGUGAGAACAAGGGCUGAUGUUGGAGCUUCUUGAAUCCAUGUUUGAGGAGCCUCAUCGAGAGUGAGAAGACAGCUUCAUGUAUCUCAUCACUCUACAACUAGCUGGACCAGCUCUGAGAGAACAAGGCACCAGGCAGAUCUUCCAGAGCCACCUCUGCCUGGGCACAGACCUCUGAUUCCCAAUCACGGCCCCCUGAGGCUUUCCUGUCCCACUUUCCCCUGGCGUUGGACCAGGACUCAGUUGCACUAAUACAGGAAAUACAGAGCACCAUUUUCUGUGCAGUGUUCCCUCUGCAGCAUUUCGAAGUCACAGCUCAUGGCCUCUGCUUCAGUCUUGCUGGGACCAGACAUCACAUUCACCAUCUUUGCUCUUGUUUGUACGGCCUCAUUAAACAAGGGGCUGAAUCUCAUUCUCUCUUGCUUUUCACCUCUUGCUUCAAAUUCUUUUUCUUCCAUUUCUCUUCUCUUUCACACCAUUUCCAUUACUGCUUGUGUCCCUGCACGACAAUACUUGUUCCCUUUUCGUCUCUUGUUCCCUUUGUUCACUGCACCUCUCCCUGAGCCCAUUCCCAUCUCCUCCAUCAACAUGUGAGCGCUGGGCUUCAUGUUCUGGUAGAGAAGUUUCCUUUCUUUUGCGCCUGAACUGGCAUGCUCAUUCAAGGCUGCUCCUGGCAUAUAAAGGAGUUAAUGGCACUGAAGCUGACAAGUCCCUGCUCUGUGUAAUAAAGAGAUGCUGGGAAGUGAUCCCAUCUGAA